rnacentral:rRNA from 1 species
GAUAAUGUAGCGUAAUCAAUAGCCAAUUAAUUGUUGGCCGGUAUGAAUGGCAUCACGAAGGCCCCACUGUCUUAAGAGGACUCUCCAUGAAAUUGAAUUCGUAGUGAAGAUGCUACGUCCAUAUUGUAAGACGAAAAGACCCCAUUGAGCUUUACUAAAGACUUGUAUAGCUCGAAAUAACUUAAAUAAAAAGUUUAGAUAAUGUGGGAUCCGUUUUUGGUUAAUGAAACACCACUCUUUUAUUUUAAGAGAGCUAACCUUGUAGGGAGAAUGCAAGUUGGAUAGUUUGGUUGGGGCGACCACCUUUUAAAAGGUAACGAAGGUGAGCUUAAGGUCCGUAGUUAAUAGCUAGUGGCCUGACUGCAAGGGGGACAUCCCGAGCAGACACUGGUAAUCUCUCAGUGGGUUAUAGUGACCCGUCAUCUUAGAGUGGAAUAGUUGACGAUCAACGAAUAAAA